GACCCAGAGAUGGACACUUCUUAUUAGAUAUAGUGUGUUCUCUAAUAUGCUUCACAAAUUUUAAUUCUCAUUAUGGGAAUAUACCCUAAAAAUUGCUAUUCUGAUUUAGAUAUCAAUAAAAUAUGUUAUGAGCACUCCAUAUGAGAUAUAAAAAUGGCAAAAGGGUAGGUUGCCCAACUUAUGUAAAAAGAGUUGAUGUACAAAAGUUU
rnacentral:lncRNA from 1 species